CAGCCCUUGACAUCCCGGUCGCGGACUCCAGAGACGGAGUUCUUCAGUUCGGCUGGACCGGAGACAGGUGCUGCAUGGCUGUCGUCAGCUCGUGUCGUGAGAUGUUGGGUUAAGUCCCGCAACGAGCGCAACCCCCGUCCUUAGUUGCUACCAUUUAGUUGAGCACUCUAAGGAGACUGCCGGUGAUAAGCCGCGAGGAAGGUGGGGAUGACGUCAAGUCCUCAUGGCCCUUACGGGCUGGGCUACACACGUGCUACAAUGGCGGUGACAAUGGGAUGCUAAGGGGCGACCCUUCGCAAAUCUCAAAAAGCCGUCUCAGUUCGGAUUGGGCUCUGCAACUCGAGCCCAUGAAGUUGGAAUCGCUAGUAAUCGUGGAUCAGCACGCCACGGUGAAUA
rnacentral:rRNA from 1 species